UACGUAGGGUGCGAGCGUUGCCCGGAUUUAUUGGGCGUAAAGGGCGCGUAGGCGGCUCGGCACGUCCGUUGUGAAAUCGCCCGGCUCAACUGGGCGGGGUCAGCGGAUACGGUCGAGCUUGAGCAAGCUAGGGGGCAAUGGAAUUCCCGGUGUAGUGGUGGAAUGCGUAGAUAUCGGGAGGAACACCAGUGGCGAAGGCGGUUACCUGGAGCUUUGCUGACGCUGAUGCGCGAAAGCGUGGGGAGCGAUCCGG
rnacentral:rRNA from 1 species